rnacentral:rRNA from 1 species
AGAGUUUGAUUUUGGCUCAGGACGAACGCUGGCGGCGUGCUUAACACAUGCAAGUUGAACGGUAUGUCAUGGAAGCUUGCUGAAGUGACAUAUAGUAGCGAACGGGUGAGUAAUGCAUGAGAAUUUAUCCUUAGGAGGGGGACAACAGCUGGAAACGGCUGCUAAUACCCCGUAUGCCGGAAGGUGAAAGGUGCGAGAGUGCCGCCUGGGGUUGAGCUCAUGUCCUAUCAGCUAGUUGGUGGGGUAACGGCCUACCAAGGCGACGACGGGUAGCCGGCCUGAGAGGGUGAACGGCCACACUGGAACUGAGACACGGUCCAGACUCCUACGGGAGGCAGCAGUGGGGAAUUUUGGGCAAUGGGGGAAACCCUGACCCAGCGACGCCGCGUGAGGGAAGACGGCCUUCGGGUUUUAAACCUCUUUUGUACGGGAAGAUAAUGACGGUACUGUACGAAUAAGUCCCGGCUAACUACGUGCCAGCAGCCGCGGUAAUACGUAGGGGACGAGCGUUGUCCGGAAUUACUGGGCGUAAAGGGCGCGCAGGCUGCGUUACAAGUCAGCUGUUAAAUGCAUGGGCUUACCCCAUGAGUGCGGUUGAAACUGUAGUGCUAGAGUACUGUAGAGGCAAGCGGAAUUCCCAGUGUAGCGGUGAAAUGCGUAGAUAUUGGGAGGAACACCGGUGGCGUAGGCGGCUUGCUGGACAGUAACUGACGCUGAGGCGCGAAAGCCAGGGGAGCAAAAAGGAUUAGAUNCCCCGGUAGUCCUGGCCGUAAAGAAGAAAUGCUAGGUGUGGGUGUAGCGAAACAUCUGUCCCGUAGUUAACGCGUUAAGCAUUCCCCCUGGGGAGUACGAUCGCAAGAUUGAAAUUCAAAGGAAUUAACGGGAGCCCGCACAAGCAGUGGAGUAUGUGGUUUAAUUCGAUGCAACGCGGAGAACCUUACCUGAAUUUGACAUCCUCAUAAAAGCCCAAUAAAAAGGCGUAAUGCCCUUCGGGGAAAUGAGAGACAGGUGGUGCAUGGUUGUCGUCAGCUCGUGUCGUGAGAUGUUUGGUUAAGUCCAGCAACGAGCGCAACCCCUAUUAUCGGUUGCUACUCAUGCUUUAGGCAUGAGAGAACUCCGGUGAGACUGCCGUUGACAAAACGGAGGAAGGUGGGGAUGACGUCAAAUCAUCAUGCCCCUUACGUUCAGGGCUACACACGUACUACAAUGGCGCAAACAAAGGGAAGCGAAGGCGCGAGCCGGAGCGGACCCCGUAAAAGGCGUCUCAGUUCGGACUGCAGGCUGCAACUCGCCUGCACGAAGUCGGAAUUGCUAGUAAUCGCGGAUCAGAAUGCCGC